UACGAAGGGGGGCUAGCGUUGCUCGGAAUUACUGGGCGUAAAGGGCGCGUAGGCGGGUCGUUAAGUUAGAGGUGAAAGCCCAGGGCUCAACCCCUGGAAUUGCCUUUAAUACUGUCGACCUUGAGUAUGGCAGAGGUGUGUGGAACUCCGAGUGUAGAGGUGAAAUUCGUAGAUAUUCGGGAAGAACACCAGUAGCGAAGGCGGCACUCUGGGCCGGAACUGACGCUGAGGAGCGAAAGCGUGGGGAGCGAACAGGG
rnacentral:rRNA from 1 species